rnacentral:rRNA from 1 species
AUUGAACGCUGGCGGCAGGCCUAACACAUGCAAGUCGAGCGGGGUUUUCGGACCCAGCGGCGGACGGGUGAGUAAUGCGUAGGAAGCUACCCGAUAGAGGGGGAUACCAGUUGGAAACGACUGUUAAUACCGCAUAAUGUCUACGGACCAAAGUGUGGGACCUUCGGGCCACAUGCUAUCGGAUGCGCCUACGUGGGAUUAGCUAGUUGGUGAGGUAAUGGCUCACCAAGGCGACGAUCCCUAGCUGGUUUGAGAGGAUGCUCAGCCACACUGGAACUGAGACACGGUCCAGACUCCUACGGGAGGCAGCAGUGGGGAAUAUUGGACAAUGGGCGCAAGCCUGAUCCAGCCAUGCCGCGUGUGUGAAGAAGGCCUUCGGGUUGUAAAGCACUUUCAGCGAGGAGGAAGGGUGGUGUGUUAAUAGCACAUCAUUUUGACGUUACUCGCAGAAGAAGCACCGGCUAACUCUGUGCCAGCAGCCGCCGCAGUAA